rnacentral:rRNA from 1 species
GACGAACGCUGGCGGCGCGCCUAACACAUGCAAGUCGAGCGAUGAAAUUUUAACCGAUCUCUUCGGAGAGAAGAUAAAAUGGAUUAGCGGCGGACGGGUGAGUAACACGUGAGAAACCUGCCUUUCACAAGGGGAUAGCCUCGGGAAACCGGGAUUAAUACCCUAUGACACAUUUCCUUCGCAUGGAAGAAAUGUUAAAACUCCGGUGGUGAAAGAUGGUCACGCGCCUGAUUAGCUAGUUGGUGGGGUAACGGCCCACCAAGGCCAUGAUCAGUAACCGGCCUGAGAGGGUGAACGGUCACAUUGGAACUGAGACACGGUCCAAACUCCUACGGGAGGCAGCAGUGGGGAAUAUUGCACAAUGGAGGAAACUCUGAUGCAGCGACGCCGCGUGAGCGAUGAAGGCUUUCGAGUCGUAAAGCUCUGUCCUAUGGGAAGAUAAUGACGGUACCAUAGGAGGAAGCCCCGGCUAACUACGUG